rnacentral:rRNA from 1 species
UACAGAGGGGGCAAGCGUUGUUCGGAAUUACUGGGCGUAAAGGGCGCGUAGGCGGCCCGCUAAGUCGAACGUGAAAUCCCCGGGCUCAACCCGGGAACUGCGUCCGAUACUGGUGGGCUUGAAUCCGGGAGAGGGAUGUGGAAUUCCAGGUGCAGCGGUGAAAUGCGUAGAUAUCUGGAGGAACACCGGUGGCGAAGGCGGCAUCCUGGACCGGUAUUGACGCUGAGGAGCGAAAGCCAGGGGAGCAAACGGGG